UUAAAGUUGAGUUUGGUGAUGGCUCUGAAUGAACGCUGUCCAAAUGCUUGACACAUGCUAAUCGUACGUAAUCAUAUUGUUCGACUUUGUCGAAGAUGAAGAUGAAGUGGUGUACAGGUGAGUAAAGGAUAUUAUAAUCUACCUUAAAGUAAGGAGCAAAAUACCUUAUAUUAGUAAAGAAAUAAUUAAUAUUUCGCUUUAAGAAGUUAGUAUCUCGGAUAGUAGUAGUUAAGGUAAUUGCUUAACUAGCUUAAUAUCCGUAGUCGAGACUGAGAGGUUGAUCGACCACAGUGGGGCUGAAUAAAUCCCAAUAUGUUUAGUACAGCAGUGAGGAAUAUUGGUCAAUAGCCUAACGGCUGAACCAGCAACUUGGAGGAAUGUAUAGCGAAAGCUAAUUGUAUUAGCAGGCAAUGUUUAAUACAAUAUCGACUCUGUCGACUAAAAUUCUAGGUAGAGUAAUGAUAAUGACAUUUUUUACCUAUGUGUCUUGACCAAGUCACGUGCCAGCAGUCGCGGUAACACGUGGAAGACUAGUGUUAUUCAUCUUUAAUAGGUUUAAAGGGUACCCAGACGGUAUAUUUAGCCCGAAAAAGGUACUAAAUAAACUAGAGUUUAAUGUGAGGGGGUCCAAUAGUACUAACGGUGUAGAGAUGAAAUUCUGUCAUACCGAUAGGAGACUGGUAGCGGCGAAAGCAACCUUUUAUGCAAAAACUGACGUUGAAGGACGAAGGCUAGUGUAACCAAAAGGAUUAGGU
rnacentral:ncRNA from 1 species